rnacentral:rRNA from 1 species
UACGUAGGGGGGCAAGCGUUGUCCGGAAUUAUUGGGCGUAAAGAGCGUGUAGGCGGCCAGGUAGGUCUGCUGUGAAAACUCGAGGCUUAACCUCGAGCUGUCGGCGGAAACCAUCUGGCUAGAGUCCGGUAGGGGAGUGUGGAAUUCCCGGUGUGAGCGGUGAAAUGCGCAGAUAUCGGGAGGAACACCAAUGGCGAAGGCAGCUCGCUGGGACGGUACUGACGCUGAGGCGCGAAAGCGUGGGGAGCAAACAGG